GACGAACGCUGGCGGCGUGCCUAACACAUGCAAGUCGAACGGGAUCCAUGGGAGCUUGCUCCCGGAAGAUCUAGUGGCGAACGGGUGAGUAACACGUGAGAAACCUGCCUCGGAGUCGGGGAUAACUCGGGGAAACCCGAGCUAAUACCGGAUACCUUCCUCGGACCGCAUGGUCCGUUGAAGAAAGAUUCAUCGCUCCGAGAUGGUCUCGCGGCCUACCAGCUAGUUGGUGGGGUAACGGCCCACCAAGGCUACGACGGGUAGCUGGUUUGAGAGAAUGAUCAGCCACACUGGGACUGAGACACGGCCCAGACUCCUACGGGAGGCAGCAGUGGGGAAUCUUGCGCAAUGGGCGAAAGCCUGACGCAGCAACGCCGCGUGCGGGAAGAAGGCCUUUGGGUUGUAAACCGCUUUCAGCAGGGACGAAACUGACGGUACCUGCAGAAGAAGGUCCGGCUAACUACGUG
rnacentral:rRNA from 1 species